UUAAGCGACUAAGCGUACACGGUGGAUGCCCUGGCAGUCAGAGGCGAUGAAGGACGUGCUAAUCUGCGAUAAGCGUCGGUAAGGUGAUAUGAACCGUUAUAACCGGCGAUUUCCGAAUGGGGAAACCCAGUGUGUUUCGACACACUAUCAUUAACUGAAUCCAUAGGUUAAUGAGGCGAACCGGGGGAACUGAAACAUCUAAGUACCCCGAGGAAAAGAAAUCAACCGAGAUUCCCCCAGUAGCGGCGAGCGAACGGGGAGCAGCCCAGAGCCUGAAUCAGUAUGUGUGUUAGUGGAAGCGUCUGGAAAGGCGCGCGAUACAGGGUGACAGCCCCGUACACAAAAAUGCACAUGCUGUGAGCUCGAUGAGUAGGGCGGGACACGUGGUAUCCUGUCUGAAUAUGGGGGGACCAUCCUCCAAGGCUAAAUACUCCUGACUGACCGAUAGUGAACCAGUACCGUGAGGGAAAGGCGAAAAGAACCCCGGCGAGGGGAGUGAAAAAGAACCUGAAACCGUGUACGUACAAGCAGUGGGAGCACGCUUAGGCGUGUGACUGCGUACCUUUUGUAUAAUGGGUCAGCGACUUAUAUUCUGUAGCAAGGUUAACCGAAUAGGGGAGCCGAAGGGAAACCGAGUCUUAACUGGGCGUUAAGUUGCAGGGUAUAGACCCGAAACCCGGUGAUCUAGCCAUGGGCAGGUUGAAGGUUGGGUAACACUAACUGGAGGACCGAACCGACUAAUGUUGAAAAAUUAGCGGAUGACUUGUGGCUGGGGGUGAAAGGCCAAUCAAACCGGGAGAUAGCUGGUUCUCCCCGAAAGCUAUUUAGGUAGCGCCUCGUGAAUUCAUCUCCGGGGGUAGAGCACUGUUUCGGCAAGGGGGUCAUCCCGACUUACCAACCCGAUGCAAACUGCGAAUACCGGAGAAUGUUAUCACGGGAGACACACGGCGGGUGCUAACGUCCGUCGUGAAGAGGGAAACAACCCAGACCGCCAGCUAAGGUCCCAAAGUCAUGGUUAAGUGGGAAACGAUGUGGGAAGGCCCAGACAGCCAGGAUGUUGGCUUAGAAGCAGCCAUCAUUUAAAGAAAGCGUAAUAGCUCACUGGUCGAGUCGGCCUGCGCGGAAGAUGUAACGGGGCUAAACCAUGCACCGAAGCUGCGGCAGCGACGCUGAUGCGUUGUUGGGUAGGGGAGCGUUCUGUAAGCCUGCGAAGGUGUGCUGUGAGGCAUGCUGGAGGUAUCAGAAGUGCGAAUGCUGACAUAAGUAACGAUAAAGCGGGUGAAAAGCCCGCUCGCCGGAAGACCAAGGGUUCCUGUCCAACGUUAAUCGGGGCAGGGUGAGUCGACCCCUAAGGCGAGGCCGAAAGGCGUAGUCGAUGGGAAACAGGUUAAUAUUCCUGUACUUGGUGUUACUGCGAAGGGGGGACGGAGAAGGCUAUGUUGGCCGGGCGACGGUUGUCCCGGUUUAAGCGUGUAGGCUGGUUUUCCAGGCAAAUCCGGAAAAUCAAGGCUGAGGCGUGAUGACGAGGCACUACGGUGCUGAAGCAACAAAUGCCCUGCUUCCAGGAAAAGCCUCUAAGCAUCAGGUAACAUCAAAUCGUACCCCAAACCGACACAGGUGGUCAGGUAGAGAAUACCAAGGCGCUUGAGAGAACUCGGGUGAAGGAACUAGGCAAAAUGGUGCCGUAACUUCGGGAGAAGGCACGCUGAUAUGUAGGUGAAGUCCCUCGCGGAUGGAGCUGAAAUCAGUCGAAGAUACCAGCUGGCUGCAACUGUUUAUUAAAAACACAGCACUGUGCAAACACGAAAGUGGACGUAUACGGUGUGACGCCUGCCCGGUGCCGGAAGGUUAAUUGAUGGGGUUAGCCGCAAGGCGAAGCUCUUGAUCGAAGCCCCGGUAAACGGCGGCCGUAACUAUAACGGUCCUAAGGUAGCGAAAUUCCUUGUCGGGUAAGUUCCGACCUGCACGAAUGGCGUAAUGAUGGCCAGGCUGUCUCCACCCGAGACUCAGUGAAAUUGAACUCGCUGUGAAGAUGCAGUGUACCCGCGGCAAGACGGAAAGACCCCGUGAACCUUUACUAUAGCUUGACACUGAACAUUGAGCCUUGAUGUGUAGGAUAGGUGGGAGGCUUAGAAGUGUGGACGCCAGUCUGCAUGGAGCCGACCUUGAAAUACCACCCUUUAAUGUUUGAUGUUCUAACGUUGACCCGUAAUCCGGGUUGCGGACAGUGUCUGGUGGGUAGUUUGACUGGGGCGGUCUCCUCCUAAAGAGUAACGGAGGAGCACGAAGGUUGGCUAAUCCUGGUCGGACAUCAGGAGGUUAGUGCAAUGGCAUAAGCCAGCUUGACUGCGAGCGUGACGGCGCGAGCAGGUGCGAAAGCAGGUCAUAGUGAUCCGGUGGUUCUGAAUGGAAGGGCCAUCGCUCAACGGAUAAAAGGUACUCCGGGGAUAACAGGCUGAUACCGCCCAAGAGUUCAUAUCGACGGCGGUGUUUGGCACCUCGAUGUCGGCUCAUCACAUCCUGGGGCUGAAGUAGGUCCCAAGGGUAUGGCUGUUCGCCAUUUAAAGUGGUACGCGAGCUGGGUUUAGAACGUCGUGAGACAGUUCGGUCCCUAUCUGCCGUGGGCGCUGGAGAACUGAGGGGGGCUGCUCCUAGUACGAGAGGACCGGAGUGGACGCAUCACUGGUGUUCGGGUUGUCAUGCCAAUGGCACUGCCCGGUAGCUAAAUGCGGAAGAGAUAAGUGCUGAAAGCAUCUAAGCACGAAACUUGCCCCGAGAUGAGUUCUCCCUGACCCUUUAAGGGUCCUGAAGGAACGUUGAAGACGACGACGUUGA
rnacentral:rRNA from 1 species